rnacentral:rRNA from 1 species
AUUGAACGCUGGCGGCAUGCCUUACACAUGCAAGUCGAACGGCAGCACGGGUGCUUGCACCUGGUGGCGAGUGGCGAACGGGUGAGUAAUACAUCGGAACAUGUCCUGUAGCGGGGGAUAGCCCGGCGAAAGCCGGAUUAAUACCGCAUACGAUCUACGGAUGAAAGCGGGGGACCUUCGGGCCUCGCGCUAUAGGGUUGGCCGAUGGCUGAUUAGCUAGUUGGUGGGGUAAGGGCCUACCAAGGCGACGAUCAGUAGCUGGUCUGAGAGGACGACCAGCCACACUGGGACUGAGACACGGCCCAGACUCCUACGGGAGGCAGCAGUGGGGAAUUUUGGACAAUGGGCGAAAGCCUGAUCCAGCAAUGCCGCGUGUGUGAAGAAGGCCUUCGGGUUGUAAAGCACUUUUGUCCGGAAAGAAAUCCUUGGCCCUAAUACGGUCGGGGGAUGACGGUACCGGAAGAAUAAGCACCGGCUAACUACGUG